GGAGCCCCGAUCCCGGGAUCCCGGGUGCUUGGCUGCAGCGGGUCGCGCUGUUGGCCAAAAGGGCAACGCAGAUGCUUCCAAAAAGAAAAAGCUCCUGCCGAGGACGACGACGGACGUUAGGGCCAAAGACGUCAGAAUCCAGCGGUGGAACGCAGCGUUCUACCCUGAGCACUGGGACCUCGCUUUUCUGGAGUAGAACUGGACGUCGCUUCAGGGCUCACGUAAGGCUGGCACUCGGAGCCACCUGCGGGGCCUCCCCGAUGCCCCUCAAAGCCCUUGCCCCUCCUGCAGCGGAGCGAGAGGGUCUGCCCUCCCGGGCACAAGGAAUGUAGCUGCCAGGGACCCACAAGCAAGUGUUUGCUCGCCCUUACCUACCCAGGCAGAAGCAGUUUCAAUUGAUACCUGACCAAGAACAGAGCACAAACACAGAAACUGAAUAUGCAGUUUGCCAAGUAAUACUACUUUAGCCUGGUGAACAUUGGUGCUACAAAUGACUUUUCUGAUGAGACUUAUGAGAAAGCGUUUGGCCACCUGCAGUUGUUAAAUAUCCCCCUGGCUCUUUUGCUAAGAGUUGAAGUAUUACCCCAUGUCUUGGCCACGUUCCAGCUUGGCCUAAUGACAUUCGUCCUCUCAAAGUUUCCUUUGCAGUUUUAAUUGGAUUUGACCCUUUUCUUCACUAUAAGGAGCCUCCCCUCUGAAACACUCCCUUUUCUGGCAGAAAGAAAGGGUACAAUCGUCC
rnacentral:lncRNA from 1 species